rnacentral:lncRNA from 1 species
GUCUGGUGUUCUGAAUGUGACGAAGGACUUUGCGGAGAUUGUAAUGCACAUCACAGUAUUUCUAGGGGAACAAGAAAACAUGAAACCGUUUCCAUCGCUGAGUACAAGAAAUUACCGACCGAAGUCCUGCAAAUCGCUCAAAUCUUCAAACUACAUAAUGAAAAAUACGAGCUUUUCUGUAGAAAACAUGACUGUCCGUGCUGUAAGAAAUGUGUGAAAUCUCACAACGAUUGUAAGGGUUUAACCGAUAUGAAUGAACUCAUUAAAAAUGUAAAAACUUCAAACGCCUUUUAUGAAAUCGAACAAACCCUGCUUGAAGUCACCGAGAAUGUUAAACGACUCAGCGAUAACCGGAAAGAAAAUUUGAACUCGCUUCGAGAUAAGAAAAGAGUUAUUGAAGCCGAAAUAAAACGAACCAGAACCAAAAUAAACGAUCACCUUGAUAAACUUCAGGAUGAUUUUAUGAAAGAAUUAAUGGCAGUUGAACAAAAAGAGAGCAGCAAAAUACAAAAAAUGUUGACUACCCUGAAAAAGAACGAAAAAGAAAUCAGUGAAGUACAAGACAGCAUUGCUAGUAUUAAACAGCAUGCGACCGAACUUCAAACAUUUUUAACCAUGAAAGAUAUCGAAAAAAAUAUUGCAGUAAGACAAAAAUUCAUUCAAUCGAUCACCACAAGUGACACUACAAAUGAAUUCAAUAUUUCAUUUCAAAUUAACAAAUCUUUACAGCAAAUCACGGCCAGCGUG